rnacentral:rRNA from 1 species
UCUAAUACCGGAUAACAACAGAUGAUGCCUAUCAACUGUUUAAAAGAUGGUUCUGCUAUCACUCUUGGAUGGACCUGCGGUUCAUUAGCUAGUUGGUAGGGUAACGGCCUACCAAGGCGAUGAUGCAUAGCCGAGUUGAGAGACUGAUCGGCCACAUUGGGACUGAGACACGGCCCAAACUCCUACGGGAGGCAGCAGGC